rnacentral:rRNA from 1 species
UACGUAGGUGGCAAGCGUUGUCCAGAAUUAUUGGGCGUAAAGCGCGCGCAGGCGGUCCUUUAAGUCUGAUGUGAAGCCACGGCUCAACCGUGGAGGGUCAUUGGAAACUGGGGGACUUGAGUACAGAAGAGAAGAGUGGAAUUCCACGUGUAGCGGUGAAAUGCGUAGAGAUGUGGAGGAACACCAGUGGCGAAGGCGACUCUUUGGUCUGUAACUGACGCUGAGGCGCGAAAGCGUGGGGAGCAAACAGG